rnacentral:rRNA from 1 species
GGACUACCGGGGUAUCUAAUCCUGUUUGCUCCCCACGCUUUCGCGUCUCAGCGUCAGUCACGUCCCAGCGAGCUGCCUUCGCCAUUGGUGUUCCUCCUGAUAUCUGCGCAUUUCACCGCUACACCAGGAAUUCCACUCGCCCCUUCCGGACUCUAGCCCGACAGUAUCCACCGGCAUUCCAGGGUUGAGCCCUGGACUUUCACAGCGGACUAAUCGGGCCGCCUACACGCUCUUUACGCCCAAUAAUUCCGGACAACGCUUGCACCCUACGUAUUACCGCGGCUGCUGGCAC